rnacentral:rRNA from 1 species
UUGACCUCAAAUCAGGUAGGACUACCCGCUGAACUUAAGCAUAUCAAUAAGCGGAGGAAAAGAAACUAACAAGGAUUCCCCUAGUAACUGCGAGUGAAGAGGGAAAAGCUCAAAUUUAAAAUCUGGCAGCUUCGCUGUCCGAGUUGUAAUU